UUACACAUUAACAAUUUUCUUUAUUUUCAAUUACAGAAGAAGGCUAAUAACAAAAUUUAGCAAUUACCGGUACAUACCACUAUAUAAAGGCGAUAUAAAAGCAUUGAUAUACACUUGAUACAUGUAUCUACCAUAAAAUAGUGUGUCUACUUAGAACAUAUUUGCUAAGUAAAUAGAGACAACCAUUUUUUUUUUCCUUUUCUUUCAGGUGCUUCUUAAAUAAAGUAUCCAAUGAGCUCAUUGGUAAGUUGAACCCAAGAUGAGAACAA